rnacentral:rRNA from 1 species
GAUGAACGCUGGCGGCGCGGAUAAGGCAUGCAAGUCGAACGCCGGGCACAUAACUUGUUAUGUGCUCGGUAGUGGCAGACGGGUUAGUAACACGUAGGUACAAACCCUUUACACAGAAAUAACUCUUCGAAAGAAGAGCUAAUGUCUGAUGGUCUGGUUGUCCAUAUUGGAUAAUCAGUAAAGGUAUACGCAAGUAUGUCGGUAGAGGAUUGGCCUGCGUUCUAUCAGCUAGUUGGUAGGGUAACGGCCUACCAAGGCGAUGACGGAUAGGCGGUGUGAGAGCAUGACCGCCAACAAUGGGACUGAAACAUGGCCCAUACUCCUACGGGAGGCAGCAGUCGAGAAUAUUGGUCAAUGAGGGAAACCUUGAACCAGCGACGCCGCGUGCUUGAAGAAGUCCUUCGGGAUGUAAAGAGCUUUUCUCAGGGAUGAAUCUUCGGAUGACAGUACCUGAGGAAUAAGGGGUGACUAAACUCGUGCCAGCAGUAGCGGUAAUACGAGUACCCCAAGCGUUAUCCGGAUUUAUUGGGCGUAAAGAGUCUGUAGGCGGUUCAGAAAGUCUCUGGUUAAAGCUUAGGGCUCAACCUUAAGAAUGCCGGAGAAACUACUGGACUGGAGGGCGUUAGAGGUUGGAGGAACGGUCGGUGUAGGGGUGAAAUCCGUUGAUAUCGACCGGAACCCUAAAUGCGAAGGCAUCCAACUGGGGCGACCCUGACGCUGAGAGACGAAAGCGUAGGUAGCAAAAAGGAUUAGAUACCCUUGUAGUCUACGCUGUAAACUAUGGAUACUGGCUAUCUGAAGUGUCGACCCUUCAGGUGGCGAAGCAAACGCGUUAAGUAUCCCGCCUGGGAAGUACGGUCGCAAGACUA